rnacentral:rRNA from 1 species
GAUGAACGCUAGCUACAGGCUUAACACAUGCAAGUCGAGGGCAGCACAGUGUAGCAAUACACGGGUGGCGACCGGCGCACGGGUGCGUAACGCGUAUCCAACCUUCCCGAUACUCUUGGAUAGCCUUCCGAAAGGGAGAUUAAUACAAGAUGGUGUUUCAAUUCCGCAUGUUAUUGAAACUAAAGAUUUAUCGGUAUCGGAUGGGGAUGCGUGACAUUAGAUAGUAGGCGGGGUAACGGCCCACCUAGUCUACGAUGUCUAGGGGUUCUGAGAGGAAGGUCCCCCCACACUGGAACUGAGACACGGUCCAGACUCCUACGGGAGGCAGCAGUGAGGAAUAUUGGUCAAUGGUCGGAAGACUGAACCAGCCAAGUAGCGUGAAGGAUGAAGGUUCUAUGGAUUGUAAACUUCUUUUAUACGGGAAUAAAACCUCCCACGUGUGGGAGCUUGUAUGUACCGUAUGAAUAAGCAUCGGCUAACUCCGUG